ACUCUAGUUGAUCCUGCUAGAGGACACUGCUAUCGGCUUGGGGAUAAGACAUGCAAGUGGAACGGGCUCGCAUCCGAGUCCGUCGCGAACGGCUCAGUAGUGUCGCUAACCUACCCUGUGGAGGUGGACAACGCCGGGAAACUGGCGGUAAUCCAUCAUAGGAGCGUCGUUCUGGAAAUGAUGUUGCUCUGAAACGGAUGUUCCAGGUAUGUGGAACUCUCCGCCGCAGGACGGGGCGGCACCGGAUCAUACUUGUAAGUGGGGUAACUGCCCACUUAGGUUAUGACCCGAACGGGCGAUGUAAGUCGUGGCCCGGAGAAGGGCACUGAGACAAGGGCCCUAGCCCCACGGGGCGCAGCAGUUACGAGACCUCACCAAUGCGCGAAAGCGUGAGUGGGCUAAGCCGAGUGAUGGGGGAUAACUCCAUCUGUGGCGGAUCCGUAAGACGGACCGCUAGAAAGGAGAGGGCAAGGCUGGUGCCAGCCGCCGCGGUAAAACCAGCUCUUCGAGUGGUGUCCAUAAUUAUUGAGCUUAAAGCGUUCGUAGCCGGUUUGGUAGGUCCCUGCUUAAAUCUGGCCGCUUAACGGUCAGUCUGGUAGGGAUACCGCUUUACUUGGGGACGGGAGACGAUGACGGUAUUCCGUAGGUAAGGGUGAAAUCUAAUGAUCUACGGAGGACCACCAGUGGCGAAGGCGGUCAUCGAGAACGUGCCCGACGGUGAGGGACGAAACCCAGGGGAGCAAAUCGGAUUAGAUACCCGAGUAGUCCUGGGCGUAAACGAUGUCCGUUAAGUGUUGCAUUGGCCACGAGCCACUGCAGUGCUGUAGCGAAAGCGAUAAACGGACCGCUUGGGAAGUACGGUCGCAAGACUGAAACUUAAAGGAAUUGGCGGGGGAGCACCACAAGGGGUGGAGCUUGCGGUUUAAUUGGACUCAACGCCGGAAAACUUACCCGCCCAGACAGCCGAAUGAGAGCCAGACUGAUGAUCUUGCUCGACGAGCUGAGAGCUGGUGCAUGGCCAUCGUAAAUUCGUGCCGUGAGGUAUCAGCUUAAGUGCUGCAACGAAUGAGAUCCCUGCCACCUAGUUGCCAGCCGGGAGCUUCGGCUCUGACGGGGCACACUAGGGGGACCGCCAGCGAAAAGCUGGAGGAAGGUGGGGGCCACGGUAGGUCAGUAUGCCGCGAUAUGGGCGGGGCCACACGCGUGCUACAAUGGCUGGGACAAUGCGUCACAACGCCGAAAGGUGAAGUCAAUCGCGAAACCCAGUCGUAGUCGGGAUCGCGGGUUGGAACUCACCCGCGUGAACCUGGAAUCCCUAGUAUCCGCGUGUCACUAUCGCGCGGAGAAUACGUCCCUGCUUCUUGCACACACCGCCCGUCGCUCCAUGCGAGCGGCCUUGGGGUGAGGUGUCGUCCAUUGGGCGAUGACGAAUCUUGGGGUCGCAAGUAGGGAGAAGUCGUAACAAGGUAUCCGUAGCGGAAGCUGCGGAUGGAUCACCUCCU
rnacentral:rRNA from 1 species